rnacentral:rRNA from 1 species
AACGAACGCUGGCGGCAGGCCUAACACAUGCAAGUCGAGCGCGCCCUUCGGGGUGAGCGGCGGACGGGUGAGUAACGCGUGGGAACGUGCCCUUCUCUGCGGAAUAGCUUCGGGAAACUGAGAGUAAUACCGCAUACGCCCUUUGGGGGAAAGAUUUAUCGGAGAAGGAUCGGCCCGCGUUGGAUUAGGUAGUUGGUGGGGUAAUGGCCCACCAAGCCGACGAUCCAUAGCUGGUUUGAGAGGAUGAUCAGCCACACUGGGACUGAGACACGGCCCAGACUCCUACGGGAGGCAGCAGUGGGGAAUCUUAGACAAUGGGGGCAACCCUGAUCUAGCCAUGCCGCGUGAGUGAUGAAGGCCUUAGGGUUGUAAAGCUCUUUCAGCUGGGAAGAUAAUGACGGUACCAGCAGAAGAAGCCCCGGCUAACUCCGUG